rnacentral:rRNA from 1 species
GCCGCCCUCUUUCUUCGUGCUUAACACAUGCAAGUCGAACGGAAAGGCCCUGCUUUUGUGGGGUGCUCUAGUGGCGAACGGGUGAGUAACACGUGAGUAACCUGCCCUUGACUUUGGGAUAACUUCAGGAAACUGGGGCUAAUACCGGAUAGGAUCUCCUGCUGCAGGGUGGGGGUUGGAAAGUUUCGGCGGUUGGGGAUGGACUCGCGGCGUAUCAGCUUGUUGGUGGGGUAGUGGCUUACCAAGGCUUUGACGGGUAGCCGGCCUGAGAGGGUGACCGGCCAAAUUGGGCCUGAGAUACGGCCCAGACUCCUACGGGAGGCAGCAGUGGGGAAUAUUGCACAAUGGGAGGAAGCCUGAUGCAGCAACGCCGCGUGCGGGAUGACGGCAUUCGGGUUGUAAACCGCUUUCGCCUGUGACGAAGCGUGAGUGACGGUAAUGGGUAAAGAAGCACCGGCUAACUACGUG